rnacentral:rRNA from 1 species
UACAGAGGGGGCAAGCGUUGUUCGGAAUUACUGGGCGUAAAGGGCGCGUAGGCGGCCUUCUAAGUCGAACGUGAAAUCCCCGGGCUCAACCCGGGAACUGCGUCCGAUACUGGAAGGCUUGAAUCCGGGAGAGGGAUGUGGAAUUCCAGGUGUAGCGGUGAAAUGCGCAGAUAUCAGGAGGAACACCGGUGGCGAAGGCGGGUCUCUGGGCAGUAACUGACGCUGAGGAGCGAAAGCGUGGGGAGCGAACAGG